GUAUCCUUAGCUCAACUGGAUAGAGCAACGGUCUUCUAAGCCGUAGGUUGUGAGUCCGAGUCUCACAGGAUGCA
rnacentral:tRNA from 1 species